AUGGUUAAAGAGAUGGUCAAAAGAAUGCUUGAUAGCCCGCAUGCUGAGGAGUUGCAACUUAGAAGACUUAAUUAUGGGGUGGUUACUCUGAUUCCUAAAACGAAAGAUGCUGCAACUAUCAAGCAAUAUCGGCCAAUAUGUUUAUAUUAUGUUUGUUAUGAAACUGUGACUAAAGUACUGACAAAUAGGCUUGAGAGAGUUGCAGAUAAGGUGGUGAGUAAGAGUCAGACGGCAUUUAUGAAAAACGGAAAUAUUUUAGAUGGGGUGGUCACUAUCCAUGAGGUGUUUCAUGAGCUUAGGAGGACUAAACAAGAGGGGGUCAUACUAAAGCUAGACUUUGAAAAAGCAUAUGACAGGGUGAAUUGGGAUUUUCUACAAGAGGUUUUGCUUAAAAAGGGUUUUCUUUAG
rnacentral:rRNA from 1 species